rnacentral:rRNA from 1 species
UACGAAGGGGGCUAGCGUUGUUCGGAAUUACUGGGCGUAAAGGGCGCGUAGGCGGUACUUCAAGUCAGGCGUGAAAGCCCCGGGCUCAACCUGAGAACCGCGCUUGAGACUGGAGAACUAGAGUUCGGGAGAGGAUGGUGGAAUUCCCAGUGUAGAGGUGAAAUUCGUAGAUAUUGGGAAGAACACCGAUGGCGAAGGCAGCCAUCUGGACCGACACUGACGCUGAGGCGCGAAAGCGUGGGGAGCAAACAGG